rnacentral:misc_RNA from 1 species
GAUGAAGAACGUAGCGAAAUGCGAUAAGUAAUGUGAAUUGCAGAAUUCAGUGAAUCAUCGAAUCUUUGAACGCACAUUGCGCCCGCUAGUAUUCUGGCGGGCAUGCCUGUUCGAGCGUCAUUUCAACCAUCAAGCCCUGCUUGUGUUGGGGUCCUGCGGCUGCCCGCAGGCCCUGAAAACCAGUGGCGGGCUCGCUAGUCACACCGAGCGCAGUAGCACAUCUCGCUCAGGGCGUGUGGCGGGUGCUAGCCGUAAAACCCCCAACUUCUCAAGGUUGACCUCGGAUCAGGUAGGAAUACCCGCUGAACUUAAGCAUAUCAAUAAGCGGAGGA